rnacentral:pre_miRNA from 1 species
AACCUCCGUCGCCCUCGCGAAGGCGGGGGCCGCUAGAUAUGUGGUGCAAGGCUGCGGCCCCCGCCUUCGCGGGGGGCGACGGCUGAU